rnacentral:lncRNA from 1 species
UCUACUUACGCAGAGGGAGACUCACAGAACUAAAAUCGUUAGAUGCCUACUACGUGCCAGGGAACUUGUGUACGUCAUCACUUUGCAGAUGGAUAGUAUCAUCUGACCCACAUUCCAUAUUCUUCUGCUUCAAUAAAGUUUGCUAAUGGAUUAUGGCUAAGAAAACCCAUGCUUGCUAUUUUUAGAAACACAACAAACAAGCAUAAAUGCACUCAGAGGAAUCAUUUUUUGGGUCCUCAAUGAUGGCCUGAUGAUGUCUCUUGCAAAAAUGUGCCCUUCAGCUUUGCAGUCAGCAGUGGCUGGGAGCCGGGGCUCUGGAGCUAGACUGCCUGGCAUCAGCCUCUGGCUUGUGACUUAUCAUAAACAUUGAAGUUAAUGGUGCCUCGCAUAGCAUAGGUACCUCAGUAAGAUCAACUGUAAUGAUUAUGUCUGCAUUGUCCUAUCAACCUGAUAUGUUCUGUAAAUAAGUAUGUCUUCAACCCAUGGCCUGGCCUAGAGAAUGUAGGGGGUGACCUUAAAAGGCCAAGAAUCCAGGACCUAGAGAGAGACCUAUGGGUGCUGGGUGCUU